rnacentral:lncRNA from 1 species
AAUAUAUAUAUAUAUUUAAUCAAGUCCCCCUUUCUCAAGGGUUUAGUACAUCUUGAAAUUUGAUAUCUUCCACUCCAGCAUCGUGAUCUCUUACAUAUGCAAUGUGGUAUUAACCUACUUCCUUCAAAUAUUCUUGAAAUGAGAACCCUUCUUCUUUGCCACCGAAAUUUUUGUAAGACACCCAUUUAGCAUGUCGUGGGUUGAGCAUUAAGACAAUGAAUUGCCUCAUGAUCAGAGUUCUAUACAAAUGCUGCAUUUUCAGUAACACUCUUGCAAUAGGCAGCACCGAGGAACGUACACUGGAGCACGACGUUUCAUCAUCAACAUACUCAUAGUAUAUUGGAGGAGAAUUC